rnacentral:rRNA from 1 species
UGGGGAAUAUUGGACAAUGGGCGCAAGCCUGAUCCAGCCAUGCCGCGUGGAUGAAGAAGGCCCUAGGGUUGUAAAAUCCUUUCGCUAGGGAAGAUAAUGACGGUACCUAGUAAAGAAGCCCCGGCUAAUUUCGUGCCAGCAGCCGCGGUAAUACGAAAGGGGCUAGCGUUGUUCGGAAUUACUGGGCGUAAAGCGCACGUAGGCGGCCUAUUAAGUUGGGGGUGAAAUCCCGGAGCUCAACUCCGGAACUGCCUUCAAAACUGGUAGGCUAGAGGAUGCGAGAGGAUAGUGGAAUUCCGAGUGUAGAGGUGAAAUUCGUAGAUAUUCGGAAGAACACCAGUGGCGAAGGCGACUGUCUGGCGCAUAUCUGACGCUGAGGUGCGAAAGCGUGGGGAGCAAACAGGAUUAGAUACCCCCGUAGUCC